CCUACGGGGUGCAGCAGUGAGGAAUAUUGGUCAAUGGGCUUACGCCUGAACCAGCCAAGUCGCGUGAGGGAAGACUGCCCUAUGGGUUGUAAACCUCUUUUGUCAGGGAGCAACGCCGGCUACGUGUAGCCGGACUGAGAGUACCUGAAGAAAAAGCAUCGGCUAACUCCGUGCCAGCAGCCGCGGUAAUACGUAGGGGGCGAGCGUUAUCCGGAUUUACUGGGGGUAAAGGGAGCGUAGACGGCGUCGCAAGUCUGAAGUGAAAGCCCGUGGCUCAACCGCGGAACCGCUUUGGAAACUGCGAGGCUGGAGUGCUGGAGAGGUAAGCGGAAUUCCUGGUGUAGCGGUGAAAUGCGUAGAUAUCAGGAGGAACACCGGUGGCGAAGGCGGCUUACUGGACAGUGACUGACGCUGAGGCACGAAAGCGUGGGUAUCGAACAGGAUUAGAUACCCCGGUAGUC
rnacentral:rRNA from 1 species